rnacentral:rRNA from 1 species
CAGCAGCCACGGUAAUACGUAGGGUGCGAGCGUUAAUCGGAAUUACUGGGCGUAAAGCGUGCGCAGGCGGUUCGGAAAGAAAGAUGUGAAAUCCCAGGGCUUAACCUUGGAACUGCAUUUUUAACUACCGGACUAGAGUGUGUCAGAGGGAGGUGGAAUUCCGCGUGUAGCAGUGAAAUGCGUAGAGAUGCGGAGGAACACCGAUGGCGAAGGCAGCCUCCUGGGAUAACACUGACGCUCAUGCACGAAAGCGUGGGGAGCAAACAGGAUUAGAUACCCGCGUAGUCCCUGUCUCUUAUAC